GCCACUUUGGCGGGAAAGAGUUGCAGGAGUCGACGAACAAAUUAUUCUAGGUCAUAUAAUUUUAGUGAAGAAGAUCAACAACAAAGUUUCUCGGCAAAUAUUGCUGACACUUCUCUCGAAUCUUUAGAGAAAAAAAGAAAGAAUGCCGAGAUACAAAAUCCGAGGUAUCGAUGUCGACUUCCCGUUUGAUGCCUACGAUUGCCAGCUCGUUUACAUGGAAAAAGUCAUCCAAUCUCUCCAGGAAAACUGUAAUGCACUUUUAGAGAGUCCAACUGGAACUGGGAAAACACUUUGCCUUCUAUGUGCUACACUGGCCUGGAGGAAGAGUUUAGGUGAUUUCUCAUCUGGUCGGAGUGCAUGGAACAGCCAAAAUGAUGAGGGCAAUGUGAAUGUUUCAACAUCACAGUCUACUUCGACAAAGCCUCUAACCAUUGUGUAUACAACCCGCACUCACAGCCAACUACGGCAAGUUAUUCAAGAGUUGAAGAAAACCUCGUACAGGCCCAAGAUGGUAGUUUUAGGAUCUCGAGAGCAAUUAUGCAUUCACGAUGAAGUGAGUUUACUCCGUGGUAGAACACAAAACAACGCCUGCCGGUCACUCUGCCGGAAACGUGGAAAACGUCAUUGCAACCAUUAUACUCAUGUUUCUGGCUAUAUGAAGAAUAAUCCACAUCUUGGAGAUGAACCUAUUGACAUUGAAGAUCUGGUCAAUAUUGGAAAGAGUUUUGGGCCAUGUCCUUAUUAUGUAUCACGGGAGCUUCACAAGGCUGUUGAUAUAUUGUUUGCUCCGUAUAACUAUCUCAUUGAUCAUGGAUAUAGAAAAUCCCUUGCCCUUGACUGGAAAAACAGUAUACUCAUAUUUGAUGAAGCUCACAACUUGGAAAGCAUAUGUGCAGAUGCAGCCUCUUUUGAUUUGUCUUCUUGGCUUCUGACAGCUUGUAUUUCUGAAGCAAAAAACUGUAUUGAUCUUUCCAUAAAGAGAAGGGAAGACUCAAAUGACAAAUCAAGAAAUCCGGAUAAUUUUGCCAUCCUUAGAGCACUUCUCCUUAAGCUUGAGAAGCGAAUAUCUGAAGUCCCUAUCCAGUCCAAGGAAUUAGGAUUUACUAAGCCUGGACCUUACAUCUAUGAACUACUCGGGGAACUCAAUAUCACUCAUGGCUCUGUCUCUGAUCUUAAACGCAUAAUCGAGGAAGCAGCUACGCUUCUUGAAGAAGACAAGCAACAAAAGAUGCAGAACACAGGCUGUCGGCUGGAAAGCAUUACAGAUAUUCUUGAUAUUAUUUUUAAAGAGAAGGGCAAUGAACAUGCGAAGUUCUAUCAAGUUCAUGUGCAGGAGAAUGAAGCAAGUGCUAUGGAUGGCCUAAAAGGUAAAGCAUCCAGAACACUCAGCUGGUGGUGUUUUAACCCGGGCAUUGCCAUGGAAACAUUUCCCAAAAUGGAAGUCGGCUCUAUUAUUUUGACAUCUGGCACUUUAUCCCCAUUGGAGUCAUUUGCACAGGAAUUGAAACUAGAUUUUCCUAUUCGGUUGGAAAACCCACAUGUCAUAUCUUCAAAUCAGAUAUGGGCUGGAGUUGUACCUGUUGGUCCAUCAGGUUGCGCUUUCAACUCUUCUUACUGGAAUCGUGAGUCUGAAGCAUAUAAGCUAGACCUGGGAAAUGCUAUUGUCAACUUUGCACGAAUUGUUCCUGAUGGUUUGCUUGUCUUCUUUCCAUCUUACUACUUUCUAGACCAAUGCAUUAGUUGCUGGAAGAAUCAGAGUCUUUCCAGUACAACUACAAUUUGGGCAAGAAUCUGCAAGCAUAAGAAGCCUGUUAUAGAACCUCGACAAUCUUCAUUGUUUCCUUCGUCAAUUGAGGACUACAUGUUCAAACUGAAAGAUAAAUCAUCCUCUGGUGCAGUAUUUUUUGCUGUUUGUCGGGGUAAGGUGAGUGAAGGAUUAGAUUUUGCUGAUCAUGCUGGAAGAGCUGUUAUCAUUACUGGCAUGCCUUUUGCUUCAAGGAAUGAUCCAAAGGUUCGCCUGAAGCGCGACUUCUUAGAUCAUCAGUCCUUUUCACAAAGAGGGAAUUGUCGGGUUAUGACGGGAGAGGACUGGUACAACCAACAAGCAUCAAGAGCUGUCAAUCAGGCUGUUGGACGUGUAAUACGUCAUCGCCAUGACUACGGAGCCAUAAUUUUUUGUGAUGAGAGGUUUGCCCAUUCAAGUCGUCAGUCUCAAAUAUCGGUUUGGAUACAGCCUCAUAUCAAGUGUUACUCCAAAUUUGGUGAUGUAGUUUACACAUUGACCCGAUUUUUUCGAGAUGACGUAAAUCAGAUUUGUCCGAAACCAGAAGAUUGUAAUGCAAAAUUUAAACUUGAAGGAGUUGAUACCGCUAGGUUGGAUGAUAUCGCUUGUGCAGGAUCUUCCACUUCAGUAAUUGGAAAAAGGGGAGAAAGUAAAACUGCAAAAUCAUUUGGCGAGGUUUACCUGGAAAAACUUGUUUCUCAGAAGCCAAAGUGUCAAGAUUCUUGGGGAAAGUCUGUGUCUUCCCUGAUUAACAUUAAAGUCAAAGAUGCCAGCCAUUCUAGCUCCUGGAAAGAUGUUCUUCCUGCCAAUAGUCCAUCUGUUACCUCUUUCAACCCUCUAUCUUCCAGAAUAAAAAAUUCAAGUGAUCUAUCACAUCGAGGAAAAAAAUUAGUAUUGUCGGAUAAGGAAUCUUCUCAGUUGCAGAAUCAUGAAGUCAUUGAUUUAACUGGUUUUUCUGUAAUGAAUGAACAAGCAAACAAAAAAUUGUUGGUAGGGUGUGGUGAAAAGAAGCGGAAAUUACUCAGCACAGAGCAUGCUCCUGCAGAAACGAUGAGGAUUUCUACUGGGCCUUCUGGUGCUAAACCAUCUGAACCAAGUAACAUUUCCUUCAAAAUUUGUUCUGUGAAGUCUGAAGCUUCACCAUCUGAUAGCAGAGGCAUGCAAAAUGAUGCUGUUGGUCCAGCAUUGCUACACGUACACGGUAGUAGUCAUACUACGAAGAAGAUGGGUGUAGAGUCUGUCAAUCAGAAUGACAAGAUAAUCAAAUGCAAUCCUGCUCAUCUUGGUGAUGAGGAAGCUAAAGGAUCUGAUUUUCUGAGUCAGGUCAGAGAGAAACUCAGUGCCAGAGAAUACAAGGACUUUGUUGGGUUUAUGAAAGCACUUAAAACCAAAGCAAUGAAAAUAAGCCAAGUUUUGCAGUCCAUUAUAGGAAUAUUUUCAGGACCGGAUAGGCUACAUCUUCGUAAAGGCUUCAAGGAUUAUAUCCCUGCAAAAUAUCAUUCCUUGUACGAGCAGUUUCUUGGGACCAGCACGUGACAUCAAAAUUUAUAGAAGAGUGGCUGCUUGAAGUUCUUUCAGGUUGGUGGUUGAGAGUUUAAUAUCUUACGUUGCAGAAAAGUCCUAGCUGUUGAAUUGCUGAAUCAUAGAACUUGGUAGUUUUGAUGCUCGCAGAACGUGGAACUAAGGAGGAGAGGAAUCGUCUGAGUGUGAAGAUUGGUUCUCUGAAACCCAGUUGUUGCAACUCAGCCAUAUGGUGUAUUUGGAACUUGGAUUGGCUUCCUGGAUUGAUGGCAAGUCUGUGAUAGAGAAGGAUAAAAGAUGCAAAAUGCCCACACACAGCUACCAAUUGCCAGGUAUGUCCACCACCAAACAGAUGUGAGAGAAGGAACAAUUGGGUAAUCUUGUGGUAAGAAAUAGGUUCAUCUUGCGGUUAAAGACGAAUCCCAUCUUGUAAUUGAGAUGAGAAAGAUUUUUUUUUUUUAAAGAAAUAUUUAUUGUUGAUAUAUUCAUCUCGUUGUUCAUAAGAUUAAAAAAAAAAAGUGUUUCAUCCCAGGAUGAACUUUUUUUUUGUUUAGUUUUUUGAGGGCAUCCCAUGAUCCAAAUUAGAGAUCAUAAGUUGGUGUAUUUUUUUUUCGUGUAUUGAGACCUAGAUAAGAUGAGAGACCAUUUUUUUCCCUUUAUAUUUAUCGAAAUCUCUUUAUUGAUCU